CUGGUUCGGCGUACUUGGCCCGUCCCGGUCUUCGGGAUGUGUGCCGGUGUGCGCCAUCCAUCCUUCGAGAAAACUUUGCUACCCUUCACGGGGCCGGCAAGGCUAUCUCGAUCUUUUACUUUGAAAAAAUUAGAGUGUUUAAAGCAGGCUUGCGCUAUGAAUACAUUAGCAUGGAAUAAUAAUUUAGGACUUUUGGCCUAUUUUGUUGGUUUCUAGGACAAGAGUAAUGAUUGAUAGGGACAGUUGGGGGUGCUAGUAUUCAGCGGCCAGAGGUGAAAUUCUUGGAUUCGCUGAAGACUAGCUUAUGCGAAAGCAUUC
rnacentral:rRNA from 1 species